rnacentral:rRNA from 1 species
CGUCAAGUCAUCAUGGCCUUUAUGUCCAGGGCUACACACGUGCUACAAUGGGCGGUACAAAGCGCAGCGAAGCCGCGAGGCGGAGCAAAUCGCAAAAAACCGCUCUCAGUUCGGAUUGCAGGCUGCAACUCGCCUGCAUGAAGCUGGAAUCGCUAGUAAUGGCGUAUCAGAACGACGCCGUGAAUACGUUCCCGGGCCUU